GAUGAACGCUGGCGGCGUGCCUAAUACAUGCAAGUCGAGCGAACAGACGAGGAGCUUGCUCCUCUGACGUUAGCGGCGGACGGGUGAGUAACACGUGUAUAACCUACCUAUAAGACUGGUAUAACUUCGGGAAACCGGAGCUAAUACCGGAUAAUAUAUUGAACCGCAUGGUUCAAUAGUGAAAUACGGUUUUGCUGUCACUUCUCGAUGGAUCCGCGCCGCAUUAGAUAGUUGGUAAGGUAACGGCUUACCAAGGCAACGAUGCGUAGCCGACCUGAGAGGGUGAUCGGCGACACUGGAACUGAGACACGGUCCAGACUCCUACGGGAGGCAGCAGUCGGGAAUCUUCCGCAAUGGGCGAAAGCCUGACGGAGCAGCGCCGCGAGAGUGAUGAAGGUCUUCGGAUCGUAAAACUCUGUUAUUAGGGAAGAACAAAUGUGUAAGUAACUAUGCACGUAUUGACGGUACCUAGUCAGAAAGCCACGGCUAACUACGUG
rnacentral:rRNA from 1 species